CGUUGUCGAGGUGGCGGCAUGCAAACUUUCUCUUGAAGGAAAUUAUUGUUGCGAGAGCCAGAUAUAUCCCAACGUUGAAUAAUUAUCGGAGGCGCAGAGAACGAAGUUUUUUGUUGUUGCUUUGGUUGAUUAGUGGAGCUUGUUUGUGACGGAAACGAAGGAGAACCUGAACCUGGACUGAUGAGAGCAGUGUAUUCUGCCUUGUACCCGGAGUGUGUGUGUAUAUGUGAUGUUUGAGCCUCUGGCCGGGUCUUUUUGCUUGUAUGGAUUCCUGGUGAGAUCUGCAUGAAGAUUCUUCUCCCGCUGGGAUUUCUCCCAUCUCUGUAGAGGUAGUGGGGAACCUCAGUGGUAGUGGCGAGCUACCCAAACGAAGGACUGUUAUUUUGUUACCAAUAUUCUGAUUUUCCCAGUGGCUGGAUAUAUUGAGA